UACGAAGGGGGCUAGCGUUGUUCGGAAUCACUGGGCGUAAAGGGCGCGUAGGCGGCCGAUCAAGUCGGGGGUGAAAGCCUGUGGCUCAACCACAGAAUUGCCUUCGAUACUGUUUGGCUUGAGACCGGAAGAGGUUAGUGGAACUGCGAGUGUAGAGGUGAAAUUCGUAGAUAUUCGCAAGAACACCAGUGGCGAAGGCGGCUGACUGGUCCGGUUCUGACGCUGAGGCGCGAAAGCUAGGGGAGCAAACAGG
rnacentral:rRNA from 1 species